rnacentral:snRNA from 1 species
GGCUGUAAGGGAAAUCUGGCCACGACAUCUGUCACCCCAUCAACUACCAGGGUUGAUUAGGCCAAUCUGGCUGGCUAGGCAGGUGUCCCCUUACUCCCUCAUUGCUCCAUGUGUGUCUUUCCAAAAGCUGCAUGCUCAGAAGAAGAGAAUGACUUUCCAUGAAUAGACAGACCAGUCUUUGGUAAAGGGUACACUAGUAGCUGUAAUCCCCUACUAGAAACUCCAAACAAGCUCUCAAAAUGUGAUUGAUUAUUGCACCAAAGUAAGGGACUCUGGUAGUGGGGGACCUU